rnacentral:rRNA from 1 species
UACGUAGGGUGCAAGCGUUGUCCGGAAUUAUUGGGCGUAAGGAGCUCGUAGGCGGUCUGUCGCGUCUGCUGUGAAAACUCAGGGCUUAACCCUGAGCUUGCAGUGGGUACGGGCAGACUAGAGUGCGGUAGGGGAGACUGGAAUUCCUGGUGUAGCGGUGAAAUGCGCAGAUAUCAGGAGGAACACCGGUGGCGAAGGCGGGUCUCUGGGCCACUACUGACGCUGAGAAGCGAAAGCAUGGGGAGCGAACAGG